UAGGGAAUCUUCGGCAAUGGACGAAAGUCUGACCGAGCAACGCCGCGUGAGUGAAGAAGGUUUUCGGAUCGUAAAACUCUGUUGUUAGAGAAGAACAAGGACGUUAGUAACUGAACGUCCCCUGACGGUAUCUAACCAGAAAGCCACGGCUAACUACGUGCCAGCAGCCGCGGUAAUACGUAGGUGGCAAGCGUUGUCCGGAUUUAUUGGGCGUAAAGCGAGCGCAGGCGGUUUCUUAAGUCUGAUGUGAAAGCCCCCGGCUCAACCGGGGAGGGUCAUUGGAAACUGGGAGACUUGAGUGCAGAAGAGGAGAGUGGAAUUCCACGUGUAGCGGUGAAAUGCGUAGAUAUAUGGUGGAACCCCAGUGGCGAAGGCGGCUCUCUGGUCUGUAACUGACGCUGAGGCUCGAAAGCGUGGGGAGCAAACAGG
rnacentral:rRNA from 1 species